rnacentral:rRNA from 1 species
AUUGAACGCUGGCGGCAGGCCUAACACAUGCAAGUCGAACGAGUGGCGGACGGGUGAGUAAUGUCUGGGAAACUGCCUGAUGGAGGGGGCUAACUACUGGAAACGGUAGCUAAUACCGCAUACCAUCAGAUGUGCCCAGAUGGGAUUAGCUAGUGGGUGGGGUAACGGCGCACCAAGGCGACGAUCCCUAGCUGGUCUGAGAGGAUGACCGGCCACACUGGAACGGGGACACGGGCCAGACUCCUACGGGAGGCAGCAGUGGGGAAUAUUGCACAAUGGGCGAAAGCCUGAGACAGCCACGCCGCGUGUAUGAAGAAGGCCUUCGGGUUGUAAAGUACUUUCAGCGGGGAGGCGGUACCCGCAGAAGAAGCACCGGCUAACUCCGUGCCAGCAGCCGCGGUAAUAC